ensembl:misc_RNA 7SK 7SK RNA
GGAUGUGAGGGAGAUCUGGCUAUGACAUCUAUCACCUCAUUGAUCGCCAGGGUUGAUUCAGCUGAUCUGGCUGGCUAGGCGAGUGUCCCUCCCUCACCGAUACAUGUGCGUCCCCUCUGAAGCUGCGCGCUUGGUCGAAGAAGAUGACCACCCCCCAUAGAGGAGGACCGUUUCGUCAGUCAAGGGUAUAAGAGUAGUUGCGUCCCCCUGCUAGAACCUCCAAACAAGCUCUCAAGGAUAUUGGCCUGUGUUUUUGUCUCCUUGUAGUGUUUUCUACAGUUUUGAAUCAGGAUAACAUUAGCUUCACUGAAAGAGCUUGGAAGCAGUCCCUCCUCU